rnacentral:rRNA from 1 species
UACGUAGGGUGCGAGCGUUGUCCGGAAUUAUUGGGCGUAAAGAGCUCGUAGGCGGCCGUUCGCGUCGGAUGUGAAAGCUCAGGGCUCAACUCUGAGAUGCCAUUCGAUACGGGACGGCUAGAGGUAGGUAGGGGAGAGUGGAAUUCCUGGUGUAGCGGUGAAAUGCGCAGAUAUCAGGAGGAACACCGGUGGCGAAGGCGGCUCUCUGGGCCUUACCUGACGCUGAGGAGCGAAAGCUGGGGGAGCGAACAGG